rnacentral:rRNA from 1 species
GACGAACGCUGGCGGCGUGCUUAACACAUGCAAGUCGAACGGAAAGGCCCUGCUUUUGUGGGGUGCUCGAGUGGCGAACGGGUGAGUAACACGUGAGUAACCUGCCCUUGACUUUGGGAUACCUCCAGUAAACUGGGACUAUUACCGCAUAGGAGCUCUUGCAGCAUGGGGGGGGUGGGAAAGUUUCGGUGGUUGGGGAUGGACUGGCGGUUUAUCAGCUUGUUGGUGGGGUGGUGGAUUACCAGGGCUUUGACGGGAAGCCGGCCUGAGAGUGUGACCGGCCCCAUUGGGACUGAGAUACGGCCCAGACUCCUACGGGAGGAAGCAGUGGGGAAUAGUGCACAAUGGGCGGCAGCCGGAUGCAGCAUCGCCGCGUGGGGGAUGACUGCCUUCGGGUUGGAAACCGCGUUCGCCUGUGACGAAGCGUGAGUGACGGUAAUGGGUAAAGAAGCACCGGCUAACUACGUG